CAUAUGUCCCACACCCCCUUCUGCCUCCUGUCCCAGACACAGAGCUUGCUGUGGGCUGGAGGAGGCAGCAGGAGAAAAGGCUGGGUCAUGCUGAGCAUUUCAAAGAUGAUGAGAACAGCUUGAUCAUGAGCUCUGAGAGCUGCUGUGCCUGAACACACUCUUACUGAAUCCAGCACCAGCUCUAAGCUGGACUGUCAAGAGUGCUCACACACACAGAAUGAGCUCCCACUUGCUUUCUUCCCAGCUGACACAGUGAAUCCUGGCUGGACUGAACACACUGAAUCCUGCUUUCUUCUGCUCACUAUUUGCGUUCUGGUUUUAGGUUGUCAUUCCAAGACAGCUGAAGAACUUGGCCUGUUCAGGGUGAACAUGGAUCUGAUGGAAGGGAUUUCUUCUCUGCAGAAGUGCAGGGUCACCUCCUGACGCUACCUGAUGGCUGCUUUUCCAGUGCAGAGAUGAUCCUGUGGGAUGUCUGAUAACGUGCUCCUCAGCAUCAGAGCACACAAAUGGCAGCUCCCAGCUGGCUCACCUGGGGCGUGUCUGAAAUGUGUCCAGCUACUAGAAGGUGUAAGACAGCACAGAAUGUAUAAAGUACAUGAACUACAGAAAAUACAAGUCAUUUGGCACACUUAGGGAGCUCUGUCCUACUAUUCUUUCCCCUUCUGCUUCUCUUGUUGUUAAUGAAACAGCUGUGCUUUGGUUUUGGGCUUUAACCUAUUUUUGGAUUCCUUUUAUGCUGCUGGCUCUUUGAAAUGCAUGAAUUGCUGGGAAAGAAAGGCAGUGUCAUUGCUUUGAGGCAAGAGGAAGGCCUAUAGGUGAAGUCAUGUCUGGUAAUGAGAGAUUGUCUCACCUAUUCAUCUCCUUCCUUCCUUUAUUGCUAUGAAGCUACUCCCUUGGGCAUGUGGUUGCACACCUUUGCUGCUCUUAUUUAAGCAUUACAAUAUCAGCCUCAGCCCUUCAUCAGCACAGCUCCUUUGGGGUGGAGGGGUGGGUGUUUUCUUCACAUCUGGGGUGCUGCAGAGUUGACAUGCUCUAGUGUGGUUUCUAUAGAUGGUCCUGUUCCCACCAGAGCAAAUGUGCUGGCCCAGAAUAAAGCUUGGAUUUCAAGGACAGAAACUGGAGAAGAAAGGAGGAAGCUGUGAAUGGAAUAAGGGGCAAGCAAAAGGGAAGGUUUAUCUGUUGGGUGAGCAGUACAACCUCUUCGCUGUCAGCUGCUGGGUUCUACCUGGGAUGGCAGGCUUUGCCUUUGUGCAGAAGGGUUUCACACCAAGGGAUGUGGGUGGGCAAGCAGAGUAUCAUCACCUCACCAGUGAGAUUGUCCCACUGACUCUGUAUGCCAACAGAUACCAAGCCCAGAAUCUCUGGAUUAGUUUACAGUCUGACCAAUAGAAUGGUGUUAGGAUUGCUGUGGUUUUAGAUGUGCUGCUGUAAAUCAUUGCAGUGCUUCAUUAGUUAUUUACUGCCUACAAUUAAUUAGUUCAGCCCUAAACUAACUUUAAGCAGUGGUUCCUCGUGGGAUUUACAGUUUGUAGGCUGAAGGCUUGGCUGUGUCUUGGCUCACACUAAUGAACAUGCUGUGGUUAAUUAAAGUGGGGAGAAUCCUACCUCCUGUCUCGGUUGCAGGACUGAACUGGGUCGGUAUUGACAACUUACUCAUCUCUUUACAAACCCAAGCUAGGCUCAGCACAUUUAAACGGAUUAAACAGGAAAUAAAUUAUUUUUACUGCCUGGUUUCUGAGUUUUAGGCUCCUGAGAAAUAUUUCUGGACUGAUUGAACCACGUUACCCUCCCAGGCAGACCUUUAUUUUCGUCGCUGCAGCCAUCACUGUCUUGAGGCAGUGAAAGAGGAGCUCUGUUUGCUCUGCCUCCCCCCACUGACACCGUUCCACUGGAAUCGAAUCCUGGCUGCAGACAAGGAGAGCUCAGCGCAGCAGGGUUUGGUUUGUUUUUUUUCUCUUUGUGGCUGAAAAUCCUGUGCUUCAGGGAAGGUCUAGCAACAAAAUGUGUGUCUGUGAGCUGUAAUGGCAGCUGCUGUUGCGGGUCCAUGCGGGGAAGUUUGCACUCAGAGGGAAUGUAAUGCUCUGGGUGUUCUCUUGGCUUUGCACACCGAUCUAAGUGCUUUUCAUGCUGAAUAUUCCAGGGCUUGGGGAUGUAACCUUACACAGCUUGCAAAUAGCUGCCAUGAUUUCCCCUGCUUAGAAUAAAAGCAGCUCUGACACC